ensembl:lncRNA
GCAACAUUCUAAAAACACCAAGAACACCAUAGCAACAGCAUGGCAACAUUCUAAAACCACCCAGAACACCAUUGCAACAGCAUAGCAACAUUCUAAAAGGACCCAGAACAGCAUAGCAACAUUCAAAACAUCAUCCAGAACACCUUGGCAAUGUUGCUAUUGCACUUAUGCAUGUUGCUAUGCACAUGCAAGGGGGGUCAUGGGUGCUAUGUAGUUGCUAGGGUACAUGGGUGGUUUUAACACUCUAUGUAUUUGUCGGGGUGUUCUGGGUGGUUUGUAGUAGGGAUGCACAAUAUUAUCGGACCAAUAUUGGAAUGGCCAAUAAUGGCUUUAAAUAUCAUAUCGGCCUGAUAUGAAAAAGUAUGCCAAUAUAUCUUGCCGAUAAGAGGAACACAUUAACUCACAUGUGUCCAGGGUGUGCUAGUGAUUAGAUCACGAAAGCAUUGUGGCUCAUUCUUGAAGCAAAGUUUUGCCUGAAUGGUAAUUGGAAUCAGUAAUUGGAAUCAGAAUGAUGCAUUCGGCAUGUGAUAGAGUAAACAGUAAUUGCACGGGAAGCGACAGCCUCCCACGAGUCCUAACGCCCGCUCAGUAAGGAGUUUUAAUUCUGUAGGGGGUGCUGUUGGCCUACUUCUAAUAAAAUAAAAGCUUAGAUUAAUAUAAGGGUCAGAAGCUCCCAGAAGCCCCCCCCCCACUCAAAAUGGAAAUUUUGUCAUUAAUCACUUACCCCCAUGUCGUUUCAAACCUGUAAAAGCUUUGUUCGUCUUUGGAACACAAUUUAAGAUAUUUUGGAUGAAAACCGGGAGGCUCGUGACUGUCCCAUAGACUGCCAAAUAAAUAACAGUGUCAAGGUACAGAAAAAUAUGAAAGACAUCGUCAGAAUAGUCCAUCUGCCAUCAGUGGUUCAACCGUAACGUUAUGAAGCGACAACAAUACUUUUUGUACGGGAAGAAAACAAAAAUAAUGACUUUAUUCAGCAAUUUGUCUCCUCUGUGUCUCUCUACAUCACCGUAGAACCAUUUUGGAGAACAUCCGCUGAACGCAAACUGCGUACGCUCUUCUGUGUCAGCCGCCAUGAGCGAAACUCAUCUCAUCCUACGCAGAGGACGGACAGAGACCUCUUUCCACAAACACUCUCUUUAGCCGUCCAAAAACAGCCGAGCAAACAGAAAUGUUAAUGAAUCAGUCAGCUUCAGUUUGAGCCGGCGAUUCUACAGCUGCAGGAAGGUAAAUAAAUAAACCCAGUCUCAGCGUUCA